rnacentral:rRNA from 1 species
AGUCGAGGGGUAACGGAAGUAGCUUGCUACUAGACGACGACCGGCGCACGGGUGAGUAACGCGUAUGUAAUCUGCCUUGUACAGAGGGAUAGCCCAGAGAAAUUUGGAUUAAUACCUCAUAGUAUUACCGAAUCGCAUGAUUUGGUAAUUAAAGCUCCGGCGGUACAAGAUGAACAUGCGUGACAUUAGCUAGUUGGUAAGGUAACGGCUUACCAAGGCUACGAUGUCUAGGGGUUCUGAGAGGAUGAUCCCCCACACUGGUACUGAGACACGGACCAGACUCCUACGGGAGGCAGCAGUGAGGAAUAUUGGUCAAUGGACGCAAGUCUGAACCAGCCAUCCCGCGUGAAGGAUGACUGCCCUAUGGGUUGUAAACUUCUUUUAUAUGCAAAUAAACCUACUUUCGUGAAAGUAGCUGAAGGUAGCAUAUGAAUAAACACCGGCUAACUCCGUGCCAGCAGCCGCGGUAAUACGGAGGGUGUAAGCGUUAUCCGGAUUUAUUGGGUUUAAAGGGUACGU